rnacentral:rRNA from 1 species
UGGGGAAUAUUGCACAAUGGGCGCAAGCCUGAUGCAGCAAUGCCGCGUGUAUGAAGAAGGCCUUCGGGUUGUAAAGUACUUUCAGCGGGGAGGAAGGUGUUGUGGUUAAUAACCUCAGCAAUUGACGUUACCCGCAGAAGAAGCACCGGCUAACUCCGUGCCAGCAGCCGCGGUAAUACGGAGGGUGCAAGCGUUAAUCGGAAUUACUGGGCGUAAAGCGCACGCAGGCGGUCUGUCAAGUCGGAUGUGAAAUCCCCGGGCUCAACCUGGGAACUGCAUCCGAAACUGGCAGGCUUGAGUCUUGUAGAGGGGGGUAGAAUUCCAGGUGUAGCGGUGAAAUGCGUAGAGAUCUGGAGGAAUACCGGUGGCGAAGGCGGCCCCCUGGACAAAGACUGACGCUCAGGUGCGAAAGCGUGGGGAGCAAACA